UGCAGUCGAGCGAACGGACGAGAGUGCUUGCACUCUCUGAUGUUAGCGGCGGACGGGUGAGUAACACGUGGGUAACCUACCUAUAAGACUGGGAUAACUUCGGGAAACCGGAGCUAAUACCGGAUAAUAUUUAGCUUCGCAUGAAGCAAUAGUGAAAGACGGUUCUGCUGUCACUUAUAGAUGGACCCGCGGUGUAUUAGCUAGUUGGUGAGGUAACGGCUCACCAAGGCAACGAUACAUAGCCGACCUGAGAGGGUGAUCGGCCACACUGGGACUGAGACACGGCCCAGACUCCUACGGGAGGCAGCAGUAGGGAAUCUUCCGCAAUGGACGAAAGUCUGACGGAGCAACGCCGCGUGAGUGAAGAAGGUUUUCGGAUCGUAAAACUCUGUUGUAAGGGAAGAACAAGUACGUUAGUAACUGAACGUACCUUGACGGUACCUUACCAGAAAGCCACGGCUAACUACGUGCCAGCAGCCGCGGUAAUACGUAGGUGGCAAGCGUUAUCCGGAAUUAUUGGGCGUAAAGCGCGCGUAGGCGGUCUCUUAAGUCUGAUGUGAAAGCCCCCGGCUCAACCGGGGAGGGUCAUUGGAAACUGGGAGACUUGAGUGCAGAAGAGGAGAGUGGAAUUCCAUGUGUAGCGGUGAAAUGCGCAGAGAUAUGGAGGAACACCAGUGGCGAAGGCGGCUCUCUGGUCUGUAACUGACGCUGAGGUGCGAAAGCGUGGGGAUCAAACAGGAUUAGAUACCCUGGUAGUCCACGCCGUAAACGAUGAGUGCUAAGUGUUGGGGGGUUUCCGC
rnacentral:rRNA from 1 species